GACGAACGCUGGCGGCGUGCUUAACACAUGCCAGUCGAACGGAAAGGCCAGUGCUUGCCCUGGUACUCGAGUGGCGAACGGGUGAGUAACACGUGGGUGAUCUGCCUUGCACUCUGGGAUAAGCUUGGGAAACUGGGUCUAAUACCGGCUAUGAACUGCCUUUAGUGUGGUGGUUGGAAAGUUUUUUCGGUGCAAGAUGAGCUCGCGGCCUAUCAGCUUGUUGGUGGGGUAAUGGCCUACCAAGGCGUCGACGGGUAGCCGGCCUGAGAGGGUGUACGGCCACAUUGGGACUGAGAUACGGCCCAGACUCCUACGGGAGGCAGCAGUGGGGAAUAUUGCACAAUGGGCGGAAGCCUGAUGCAGCGACGCCGCGUGGGGGAUGACGGCCUUCGGGUUGUAAACUCCUUUCGACAGGGACGAAGCGUAAGUGACGGUACCUGUAUAAGAAGCACCGGCUAACUACGUG
rnacentral:rRNA from 1 species